UACGUAGGGUGCGAGCGUUGUCCGGAAUUAUUGGGCGUAAAGAGCUCGUAGGCGGCUUGUCGCGUCGGAUGUGAAAGCCCGGGGCUUAACUCCGGGUCUGCAUUCGAUACGGGCAGGCUAGAGUUCGGUAGGGGAGAUCGGAAUUCCUGGUGUAGCGGUGAAAUGCGCAGAUAUCAGGAGGAACACCGAUGGCGAAGGCAGCUCGCUGGGACGGUACUGACGCUGAGGCGCGAAAGCGUGGGGAGCAAACAGG
rnacentral:rRNA from 1 species